UUCUUUUAGCUGGUGAUAGAGUGGGACCUUCUUCCUCCUUCACUCCUGGUGCUUAACAAGGCUAGAAUUAUCGGAUCUCUUUAUUGUUGCGUGGAAGUUGGAACGACUUGGAUCACCUGGAUCGAGAGCAUGGGCAUGGUGAGAAUGCCGUCAGUGGACCGUAAGCGAUGGUAGUGGCUCCCCCUUGUGUACCCCGGAUUAUGAUAUUUACCAUGGAAAAUUCUUAUGAUAAAUAAAAUUAUGAAAAAAAUUUACUUCUAACUAUGUUUUGCCCGAACGGGGGUGGACUUCCUGGGUACACAAGUCACAGGACCAUGGUAUUAUUUUAUUAAUAUUAAAGCAUACUUGGGGGACAGCAUGGUCCUGUUAAGGUAAUUCUAUCGACUAACGACCACCUGAUGUGCGUUAUGGUUGCUAUUAUUUGUGGAUGAUAUGAUUGAUAUUGUAUGGCUGAUGAAUGCUCAAUUAGAAAAGUCUAGGGACAUUUGUUUUGAUUGCUUGGGUUUAGUAUUAUGUAUUAUUAUUCACUAAGUUUUAUACUCAUUCCCGUUGUAUCUAAAUUUCUCAGGAAGAAGCUCUUUUUCCUCUUUUAACAAAAAACUCUUUUUUAUCUC